rnacentral:rRNA from 1 species
AGUAAAUUAAUUAUUUAUUUUAUAUAUUUGAAUUUUAAUAAAAAUAAUUUUAUUAAUAAUUAUUUUUAGUAUAUAUUAUAGAAAAAAUUUUUUUAAUUAUAGUUAAUUAGUAUUGUAAAAGAAUUAAGAUUUAUUAUAUUUAUUAUAAAAAAGUAAAAUUUUAUUUUUGUACCUUGUGUAUCAGGGUUUAUUAAAUAAUUUUUAUUAAUUUUAAUUUUCCCGAAUUUAAGAGAGAAAAUAAAUAAUUUUUUUUAUUGUGAAAAAAAUAUUUAUAAUUAUUUAUUAGAAAUGAAAAGUUAUUCGUUCUUAAAAAUAUCUGGUUUAUUUAGAAAUGAAUUUAAUUCAGUUAAUUUAAUUUUAUUAUUUUAUUUUUUUAAAUUAAUAAAUUUUAUUAAUAAUAGUUAAAGGGAUUAGCUUUUAAUUAAAAUACUAUAAUAAAAUUAUUUAAAAUAGAAAUUUAUAAGUUUAGAAAUAUCUUUUAUUAAUAAUUUGUUAUAAUAAGUUUUUAUUUUUAUAUUAUUUUAUAAUUAUUUAGUUUUUUAUAAAUAAAUUUUAUUUAAUUUUAAAAUAUUAGAUAUAAUGAUAAAAUUAGUAUAUUUAAAAAUAUUUAUAUAUAUUUUUUAUAAAAUUUAUUUAAAGGAAUUCGGCAAAAUUUUUAUUCGCCUGUUUAACAAAAACAUGUCCUUUAGAAAUUAGAAUUUAAGGUCUAACCUGCCCACUGAAAUUUUUAAAUGGCCGCAGUAAUCUGACUGUGCAAAGGUAGCAUAAUCAUUAGUUUUUUAAUUAAAAGCUUGUAUGAAUGGUUGGACGAAAUAAAAACUGUCUCUAAAUAAUAAUUAGAAUUUAAUUUUUAAGUUAAAAAGCUUAAAUUUUUAUAAAAGACGAGAAGACCCUAUAGAUCUUUAUAAUAAAUUUUAUAAUUUUAUUUAAGAUUUUUUAAUUGUUUAUAAAUUUUAUUAUUUUAUUGGGGUAAUAAAAAGAUUAGUAAAAUUCUUUUAUAAGUUUUACAAAAAUUAUUGAUUUUUUGAUCCAUUAAUAUUGAUUAUAAGAUUAAGUUACCUUAGGGAUAACAGCGUAAUUUUUUUAAAGAGUUCAUAUCGAUAAAAAAGUUUGCGACCUCGAUGUUGGAUUAAAGAUUAUUUCGGGUGUAGAAGUUCGAAAUUUUGGUCUGUUCGACCAUUAAAUUUUUACAUGAUCUGAGUUCAGACCGGCGUAAGCCAGGUCGGUUUCUAUCUUUAUAAAGUUAAUAUAUUUUAGUACGAAAGGACCAAAUAUAUAAUAUAUAAAUAUUUUGUUUUUGAAUUAUAUU